rnacentral:lncRNA from 1 species
GCUGCCCGCACGCCCCGACGGGAGCUGCGCCCAGCCUCCCCUCUGGAGUCGGCGCUCCAGGCUGCUGCCCGGCCGGUGGCCAAGGCCCCAGCACCACCGUCCCUCCUGCAGGGCAUCCAGCACCUACCCUUCCACUGGGCGGCUCCUGGUUCUGGUCCCGGCUGGCUCACUCAGGCUGCCUUUGGACCAGAUUCUUGAACUUUUCCACCAAGGAUGUUGCUGCUGUUUGUAGCGUCGGAUCCUGGAAAAUCGCUGUGUUGGGGAGCAGCAGGCUCUCCCUUGCUCCCCCAGGGCCUGGGAAAAUCAACCCACCUCUGCCCCCCGACCCCAGGGCUGUAACCUGGUGUCUGGUAGCCCCACUGUGAUAAACCGAAGCCCAGCACAGUUUGGGACUCGCCCCGAGUUGACUUAUGCAGCCCCCAGAACAGAGGCUGAAACCCGGCGCAUCCUGGUGAAGCCACACCCAGCCGGCCUGGUCCCAGGCCCCGGGCACGGGGUCCCCUCCACUCCCAUCUGCUUCCCUUUCAGAGCCGGGGCUGAGUCGGCAGGGACGCAGGCUCAGGGCCCUGGAUUCCCGCUUUCUGGACACUUGCGUGCAUGCCCAGCACCAGCUCGCCCUUCUGAGAAAGCAAUCCCUCCUCAGAGGGGAGAAGCCGUGGCUGUGAUGGGCAGGAAGUGGUCAGGACCCACUGCCGAGCACCAACUCCCCAUGCCACCACCAGGGGUGCGCCUGGACUCCUGGAAAGGGGUCGCGUCAGGGUGCAGCCCAUCAAAGGCUUCCCAAGAGGCAAGAGGCAAGGAGAAGUGUCCUACUUUAAACGGCCAGCCUCAGUGGUCGGCCCUGUUCACUCUGCCACCUCAGAGAGAGUGAACCCAGCAGAGGUGUGACGGGAGGCUGGGGAGAGACCCCAGCACCUUGAGCACACAGGAGCCAGGAGGAGCCCAACAGAGCAGCAGGGGCUGGGGUCUUCUCCUGAAGCCUGACUCCAUGGGACCCCAAAGAAGCAGAUGGAAAACUGAAAAAGAAAACCCCUCAAGUGAGCCACUGGAAAGAAAGCAAAACAAGAGAAAAUAAAUGAGUUGUUUGACAUAAAAAAAAAAAAAAAAAA